AUUGAACGCUGGCGGCAGGCUUAACACAUGCAAGUCGAGCGGGGUGAUGGUGCUUGCACUAUCACUUAGCGGCGGACGGGUGAGUAAUGCUUAGGAAUCUGCCUAUUAGUGGGGGACAACAUCUCGAAAGGGAUGCUAAUUCCGCAUACGUCCUACGGGAGAAAGCAGGGGAUCACUUGUGACCUUGCGCUAAUAGAUGAGCCUAAGUCGGAUUAGCUAGUUGGUGGGGUAAAGGCCUACCAAGGCGACGAUCUGUAGCGGGUCUGAGAGGAUGAUCCGGCACACUGGGACUGAGACACGGCCCAGACUCCUACGGGAGGCAGCAGUGGGGAAUAGUGGACAAUGGGGGGAACCCUGAUCCAGCCAUGCCGCGUGUGUGAAGAAGGCCUUAUGGUUGUAAAGCACUUUAAGCGAGGAGGAGGCUCUUUUGGUUAAUACCCAAGAUGAGUGGACGUUACUCGCAGAAUAAGCACCGGCUAACUCUGUGCCAGCAGCCGCGGUAA
rnacentral:rRNA from 1 species